AGCCAGACUCCUACGGGAGGCAGCAGUGAGGAAUAUUGGUCAAUGGGCGAGAGCCUGAACCAGCCAAGUCGCGUGAGGGAGUACUGCCCUAUGGGUUGUAAACCUCUUUUGUCGGGGAGCAAAAGCCGGACGUGUCCGGAGGGAGAGUACCCGCAGAAUAAGCAUCGGCUAACUCCGUGCCAGCAGCCGCGGUAAUACGGAGGAUGCGAGCGUUAUCCGGAUUUAUUGGGUUUAAAGGGUGCGUAGGCGGAUUUUUAAGUCAGCGGUAAAAUGUCCGGGCUCAACCCGGGCCGGCCGUUGAAACUGGGGAUCUUGAGUGGGCGAAAAGUAUGCGGAAUGCGUGGUGUAGCGGUGAAAUGCAUAGAUAUCACGCAGAACCCCGAUUGCGAAGGCAGCAUACCGGCGCCCUACUGACGCUGAGGCACGAAAGUGCGGGUAUCGAACAGGAUUAGAUACCCUCGUAU
rnacentral:rRNA from 1 species